rnacentral:lncRNA from 1 species
AUUUUUAAUUCAAAGUAUCUGCGCAAAUCCAAAUAAAUAAAACAUAAUCAACCAAAUACCUUUCUUAAAUAGUUACAAUAUUCAAAUCUCAAUUAAUUAUUCUAAUACAUGUUCACUAAUAUUUUUCAACCAAGAUGCAAACUUUGAUCAUCUGAAGAAAAGUUUUGUCCUUGACUUUCUCCAGUAUAGUCCAUUCAUACAUUUCUGUAAACUAUUAUUAAUAAUAAGAUAAUAAAUUUUAUCUAAUUAAUAUUAUUUAUUAUAAAUAAUCUAUUACACAACUUCACAAAAGACUAAGAU